GACUCCUACGGGAGGCAGCAGUGGGGAAUAUUGGUCAAUGGGCGAAAGCCUGAACCAGCCAUGCCGCGUGAGUGAUGAAGGCCUUAGGGUUGUAAAGCUCUUUCGACGGGGAAGAUAAUGACGGUACCCGUAGAAGAAGCCCCGGCUAACUUCGUGCCAGCAGCCGCGGUAAUA
rnacentral:rRNA from 1 species